rnacentral:rRNA from 1 species
ACUGGAAUUCCUGGUGUAGCGGUGAAAUGCGCAGAUAUCAGGAGGAACACCGAUGGCGAAGGCAGGUCUCUGGGCAUUAACUGACGCUGAGGAGCGAAAGCAUGGGGAGCGAACAGGAUUAGAUACCCUGGUAGUCCAUGCCGUAAACGUUGGGCACUAGGUGUGGGGGACAUUCCACGUUUUCCGCGCCGUAGCUAACGCAUUAAGUGCCCCGCCUGGGGAGUACGGCCGCAAGGCUAAAACUCAAAGGAAUUGACGGGGGCCCGCACAAGCGGCGGAGCAUGCGGAUUAAUUCGAUGCAACGCGAAGAACCUUACCAAGGCUUGACAUGGACUGGAAAUACCUGGAAACAGGUGCCCCGCUUGCGGUCGGUUCACAGGUGGUGCAUGGUUGUCGUCAGCUCGUGUCGUGAGAUGUUGGGUUAAGUCCCGCAACGAGCGCAACCCUCGUUCUAUGUUGCCAGCGCGUGAUGGCGGGGACUCAUAGGAGACUGCCGGGGUCAACUCGGAGGAAGGUGGGGACGACGUCAAAUCAUCAUGCCCCUUAUGUCUUGGGCUUCACGCAUGCUACAAUGGCCGGUACAAAGGGUUGCGAUACUGUGAGGUGGAGCUAAUCCCAAAAAGCCGGUCUCAGUUCGGAUUGGGGUCUGCAACUCGACCCCAUGAAGUCGGAGUCGCUAGUAAUCGCAGAUCAGCAACGCUGCGGUGAAUACGUUCCCGGGCCUUGUACACACCGCCCGUCAAGUCACGAAAGUUGGUAACACCCGAAGCCGGUGGCCUAACCCCUUGUGGGAGGGAGCU